UGGGAUGGAAGAAAAAAAAAAAAAAAAACACACACUUGCUUUAAACACAGAGCAGUCAAUAAGCCAUCUUCUGAGUUAGUUUAGAACAGUGGCUAUUCGAAGCCUUUGCUUUAAUUUGUCCCUUUUCUCUCAGCUUGUCUCCUUCGGCAGGAAGCAACAUAAAUCCACGUCAGGCUUUGUACAUGGUGUGUGGAGCGGUGGCGCCCAGUCUGGUGAGUGACGUGGGUGUCAAUGGAAGAUCCCUGCUAAUCUCCUCGGUAAAUAUUGCACUUUAACAUUUUUCUUGUAAAAUAAUUAUUCAUGAUGUGUCAUUAACAAGCAGUACCGCCACCACCAGGACUGGAGGGGAACAGCAUUGCUUGGCAUGUUUUCUAGCAGAGGGGGACGGCUUGGAACGGAUCUCCGGAGACGCUGCGGGCGAAACUCACCUAGUAUACACAUUCGUGCCCAUGGACAGAAAGACAGCUGCUGUCCUGGUCGAGAAAUUGACGGAAAUGAGCCACGGAUGGGUAAACGCACACCCACGCACUCACCGCCCCCCCAAAAAAAUUUGAUCAAGUCAUCAAUAUGCAAACUAACUAAUUCAACACGGCUGUCCACCGGAGCCUCGCUGAUAUAUAAAUACAAAUGUCAGCCUCAAUAUCAUUUACCAUCUGACUGCGCAUUGAAAAGCUAUUUACAAUCCAAAUCAAUGAAAUUUGAGAGUGUCAUUCACAGCACAUAAGAGUUCAUUAGAAAAAUUGAGACAGCACGCACAAGGCUGACACAUGCUAUGUUGUUGCUUUUCAAAGUCUGGAAUUGGAUUGGAAAAAUAUUUCCAUUGAGAUGGACACCACGCAUCAUCAUCGACAGGUGUGUAAAUGUCACCGUAAAUAUAAACACAAUUUAGAUGUGGGAAUCGAACUGCCUGUCCCAAUGGAAAUUUUUGAAUUUUUGACUGAAAAUAAUUGAUUGUCAUGAGAAAAUGAGCUGUGUAACAUAUUGUCUUCAGAUUUUCAUUUAAUACUAAAAUGAUCUGCACAUU